rnacentral:rRNA from 1 species
GACGAACCGUGCGAACGUUAUUCGGAAUCAUUGGGCUUAAAGGGCGCGUAGGCGGGUCGGUACGUCGGUCGCUGAAAUCCCCCGGCUUAACCGGGGACGUGGCACCGAUACGGCCGACCUGGAGGCGAGGAGGGGGACCUGGAACGUCCGGUGGAGCGGUGAAAUGCGUAGAGAUCGGACGGAACGCCGACGGCGAAAGCAAGGUCCUGGACUGGUACUGACGCUGAGGCGCGAAAGCCAGGGGAGCGAACGGG